rnacentral:rRNA from 1 species
CUCAAAGGAAUUGACGGGGGCCCGCACAAGCGGUGGAGCAUGUGGUUUAAUUCGAUGCAACGCGAAGAACCUUACCGGGGCUUGACAUCCAGGGGACAGCCGUAGAGAUACGGCCUCCCUUUGGGCUCCUGGACAGGUGCUGCAUGGCUGUCGUCAGCUCGUGUCGUGAAAUGUUGGGUUAAGUCCCGCAACGAGCGCAACCCUUGCCCUUAGUUGCCAGCACGUAAUGGUGGGAACUCUAGGGGGACUGCCGGUGAUAAACCGGAGGAAGGUGGGGAUGACGUCAAGUCAUCAUGGCCCUUACGUCCCGGGCUACACACGUGCUACAAUGGCCGGUACAAUGGGCUGCGAACCCGCGAGGGGGAGCCAAUCCCAAAAAGCCGGCCUCAGUUCGGAUUGCAGUCUGUAACUCGACUGCAUGAAGUCGGAAUCGCUAGUAAUCGCGGAUCAGCAUGCCGCGGUGAAUCCGUUCCCGGGCCUUGUACACACCGCCCGUCAAGUCAACCGAAUUGGCUGCACCCGAAGUCGUUCUGCCAACCCUCAGGGGGGGCAUGCGCCGAAGGUGUGGUUGGUAAGGGGGACUAAGUCGUAACAAGGUAGCCGUACCGGAAGGUGCGGCUG